UUUUCAUUUUACAGAGCAAGAAGCCACAGGUUCAGGAUGGUUCAUUUAUUUCUUCAUUUAACAACUAUUUAUUGGCCGUGGCUGUUCCAGACACACACAAGUGAGGAACUCGCCCCAGUGUGUGAGCAGGCAGGGACGGUGCCUAAGUCCCCACAUGACUGCAGCGGAGUGCAGUGGAUGCUAAACGUGGGAGCUGGCAGGAGUGCCUGCCUCCGUGCCUCGGAGCUGUUGGAGUGAGCAUCUGGGAUGCAUGUUAUACCUUGCCUCUUCACUCAGAUGGAAAGUUGAGCUUCAAAUAAAGAGGCCAACUCUAUGCCUCUUAAGAUUCUUGGGAACUCAUAGCGCCCAUUGGAUCUUCAGCACGAUCCCAUGGGGGUAUUUCCGAGUUGAACUUUUCACUUUCUGUCCAUUCGGGCUCAGCUACCUGGUGAAGCUACUUGAGAUCUUUGUUAGCUGUGUUUGGUCUGUGUUUUCUGGACAAUUACUUUUUAGUUUUUAAAUGGGUAGACUACUUAGAAACCACCAAGAGCUGUUACUUGUGUGUUCCUUCAGAUAUAAGCUGGAUAAUUUACCGCUGUGAUAUAAGACGUUUUCCCCUACAGUACUCACCAGAGUGUCCUCAGAGCCAAGUAAGCCCUCAGGUUCCCACUGGCAGUCUCGGCCUCGCUACUCUGCAGAGCGCAGGGCAGCAGCCAGGCCAGUGCCACACCUUCCUGCAGGUGUCUGCAGGUCUGCCAACCCCAUCAGGGGCUGGACUCUCUGCGUGAGGUGAGUGGCUCGGGUACAAAGAGACGACGUCAUUGGCAGGUGUGGGGGCUGCCCUGAAGCCCUGCUCCCCAUAGGAGCCGUUGACGCAGCUUCCAGGGUCCCCAGUCCCCACGUGGGGCGUGACUGUCAUGCCCGUAGAAAUGACUUCCCGGCAGUGUUCAUUCCAGGGGCAGGUUAUCAAUCAGGCUGUUUCUACUAUUGGGACGUUGCCUGGUGACAUAAUUACACAUUCCAUCUUUGUCUGUUUCCAGGAGAACAGAGUCCAGAAGUUAACUGCAAGGCUGCUGAGGACCACAGGAGAAAACUUCCAGAAGACCUUCAGGUCUCCAUAUUCGUGCUCUUCCCGUGCGCCCCGUUGGCUCCCCGCUCCAGCCUUUCCCGGGACCUCCCGCAUCCAGCGGUUGUUGGGCUGCCUCCCACCCAGCCGGGCCUGCUGAAGGAGGGGCCUCUCCUCAGCCACUCUGCCAGCUUUUCCCUCCAGCUGUCUUCUCCUCUGUUGGAACCCCCCUUAACCCCAUAUCCAUCUCCUGUGGUCACCCCGCCUCUUUUCUCUCAGGGUCUUGCUUCUGGAAAGCCUUUGCAUUCAUUUUCUUCUUGCUUCUCACUUAACUCUUUGACGCAUUGCAAUCUGACAUCCACCCCAUAGCUCUAGGGAGCCGCUCCGCCUGAAUGCUAAAGGCAGUGGAUACUCUUGCCGCCCUCAAUUUUUCACCGAUCUCUGGCAUUUGACUUGGUUGGUCAUUUCCUUUGCAGAGAGCAUUCCUCUCGGCUUGGAUGAUAGCACUGUCCCAGCACCAGUCCCUCCUCCUAGAGUACCUUCGCCCCUUUCUCCAGGCUGACUCCUCCUUUGCAAGCCCUAUCCUGCAACCCUGAUUGUCGCUGAGCUAGGGUCGCCCUAUGAUGGACCUGUGGGUGUGGAGGUCCUGUGGGUGUGGAGCCCACACACACACAGCUCCCAAGCUCUGACUCCAGCAGUCUCCUCACCCCAGCCAGUCUUCUCUCUGUUAUUCCCAAUCUGCACAGCCCUACCCAGCCCACAGAUGUUCAUGGCCCACUGCCACCCCUCCACCCUAACCUGUGCCAUGGUUUUUUCCCCUUAUUGUUUAAGGGAAGAACAGAUUUGUAAGUAUCCCAAAAAGGCUUAUUUCCUAAAGGACAAAGGUUUAUUUUUUUGUUUCACAGAGGUGGAAUUUUCAAAAGAUAACGUUUACAAUAGUUUACAAAAUAUCAAAUAGUCAAUUCUCAGUAGUUGUAAUAGUUAUUUCUAUAAAAUUGCCACACACUCUGAAAGAGCUAAUACUGAACCACUGCUUCUAGGAGAAAUACAAGUUUAGAUUGCUGCAAGCCUGUGGUCACAACAUUUUCAUCAAUAGAUAGAUAUAUAAACUUGUGUUAUGUGUGUUUCUGUUUGAAGACACCCAAUCUAAUAUCUAUUGUUGAUUCAUUAAGAUUGUAUUCACGGCCAUUGGCACUGUAGCUUGUG
rnacentral:lncRNA from 1 species